GCCAGUGCCGGCCGAGGACGCACGUCCGCACGACGUCCUUCGCCGGCAGGAAGCCAAGGAUGCGCCGGAGGGCGUCAUCUGGAAGAGCACCGAGGCGGUCGGCGGGAGCGAUCGACGGACCCGCAGCCGCCGCAAGAGCUUUCUUGCGCUGUCUCGUCAGAGGUGCCAUCGAUCCGAUCCCUUCGUCAGAGCCCGUCCGUCGCUGCUGAGGCAAGUACCAAUCAUCGAUCGAAACGCCGGAUUCUGGCGCUCGGAUUCUCAUCGUGAACCGCCGCCCCGCCGGGUACUCCGAUCUCCUCUGCCGUUGUGGUCCGAAGCCUGCGCGGCUCAGAGCAGAGGAGCGGAGCUCUCGUGGUAGAGCAGGGCCUGAGCCAAGGAUGGGGUCUUGCGCUUCCGGCUGGAGCGGAACCUAGGGCGGACGGUGGCGGCGGCAGCCGUCGAUGCCGGAGGCGGAGCCGAC
rnacentral:lncRNA from 1 species